GGUCGCGACGCGAGGAGGAGUCAGUUGGUAGCGGCGCGUCGUCCCGGGCGCGAGGUGUCAGCGAUGUAUCGUUACGCGCGUUUACGCAGGUCGACGCAGGCCGUCGCGAACGGAGACGCGACGGUCUCGGUGCUCCUCUUUCGCGUAUGUCUUGUGUCGCUUGUGCUCGUGUGGCCACCGGUGUCAUGCCAGGAAAACAGUCUGACGAAUCGUAUGCGGGCGAUCAGCGAGGAUCUGGACCGACAGCUCAACGAGAUAAUGGCUUCGCAGGCGCUCACCUAUUCGACGAUCAACAUCGCCGGCUUGCCCUACAACGCCACCACCAAGUUCAAUCCGAAGGGCAUGGGCCAGCUGUACAACGUAACGAAUAUGUUCAUCGACUUGGUGCAGAGCAAACAGGCGUAUCCAGAAGGUAUGAUCACUGUGGUUGACGGUGCACCGGCUUUCGCGGACCCUCUAAAGGAAUGGAAGAUUAUAGUGACACAUUACGGAGGACUUGCGAGUCUCGCUCUGAUUGGACUUCUCUUAGCGGCUAUUCUCCCCUGCGCGGGUCUUUUCUUCUGCUGCUGCAGAUGCGCGGGGCAUUGCGGUGCUCGAAGCCAACCCUUCGAUAAAAAGCACGAUCACUGCAGGAAGAUUAUGCUCAGCAUUGUGCUAAUCGGAGUCGCUACUAUUAUAUUAUUCGGUGUGGUCUGCGCCUUCGUGACAAACGAGUACAUGCAGGAGGGAACCAAAGAGCUUCCAACUAACGCCAAGACUAGUCUGAAAGACGUCAAGCUCUACUUGACUACCACAAAGCAAGAGAUCGACAAUUUGCUCAAGACCAAUCCCGAGGAGUUGGAAGUUACGCUCAACAAUAUUCUGCAGGCCAGCGGCAAAAUCGUUACCGAGCAACUAGCGGAAUACUCGCAUGCCGUCUCCCUCACUAACUUGAAUGACAUAGUCGCCGGCUUGGAGUCGAUCAGAGAGGAUUUGAGACUGAUGAAUAAAAUAACUCAGGAUUUGCGGAUAAACGCCAGUCAAUUAGACAUUGUUGUUCGCGGCGUCAAGAAAAAUCUCCUUCAUACGCUAGCUGCAUGCACGACUGACAAGUGCCAACGAGUUCUUCACGACUACAAAGUGAAUCAAAUGUCGGUACAAGUGGAUUUUGAUAAGUACAUGGACCGUUAUUUCCCAAAGCUUCUAGCGUCUCUGCCAGACGUUACAUUCGCGUUGCAUAACAUCACUGUGCUCAUGGAGAGUAACAUAGUGUCGGAAGUGAGCCAAGGCAGGGAUUCGUUUCUAAAGAUCCAAAAGGAUAUUCAGCAUGCCGUUAAUCAGACGAUUCCCGUGGUCAGCGCGAGUAUUCGACGAGCUUGUAACUUUCUAGCGAGCAUCGCCAAUAACAUGACUGCCAUCAUCGACAGAAUAAAUGUCGAUAUAGAUAGAGUUUAUAUUCCGCAUUUAGAGGUUGCUCGGAACAAUAUAGAUCAGUAUUCGCCCUAUAGAUAUUAUCUCGGUCUUGGUAUAUCCGGUAUUCUUCUAACUGUCUUAAUGUGUUUGACGUGUGGUCUUCUUUGUGGUAUUUGCGGAAAGCGUCCGGAUGGAUAUGGAGAUGAUUGUUGUAACAAGGGAUCAGGUGCACGAUUUCUUAUGAUGGCUGUGUGGAUCAUCUUUCUUUUAACGAGCGUUCUGAUGGUCGUAACUGUCGUUCACAUGAUAACCGGCGUUAUGGCUCAACGUGGCAUAUGUGAACCUUUAAAGAAUCCAAAAGACAACAGAAUGUUUGAAUUGGUCGACGAUCUUGUGCAAAUCAAGAGAAUACUCUAUCCGAAAUAUCCUAAUGCGAAUAUUAACAUGAGUUAUAUUGUUACUAAAUGCCAUGAAAAUGAGACGCUUUACAACGUGCUGAAUCUGAAAACUAUAUUUGACGUUGAAAGUCUGCGCGAUUAUGCUGGGCGUUACGACAUCAACGACACCAUCCAACAAUUGCGGCGCAAGAUUAGCCUUUCCCCCGGUGUGGUGAUUCUGAAGGACAGUGCGAGAUCCAAGUUGAACGAUCUAGCUCAGAGCGGUCUCAGUGACAUCAAAUUUUAUCAAUAUGCCGAGUUGCUUGCCGAAAACAUCACGAAUAUUAACUUGGAACAUCUUGCUAAAAAAUUGCGAGACGUUUCCGCUAAAUUGCCAGAGGGCCAAGAUGAAAUCAGGCUCAGUCUCGAAAAGAAUGCGCACGACUUGGAGCACUAUCAUAGAGACUUGGUCAUGCCAAUGGCUAUGCUUAGCGAACAAUUAAGCGCAAACGCAUUGAUGCUUCAAGAGAACAUUAAAUUCAAUCACAGCUCAAUGGCAGACGCUAUUCACGAUCUAGUAGAUGAAGUUACUAAGGCGCAACAAUUUCUGAAUAAAGAUGGACCAGAAUACGUUCAAUAUCUCGCGACUAGAUUUGGCAAUGCGUUCUUACAUCAAGUGGAUAACUUUCUUGAACAUGUGAUUGCAUCUGCGAGUUUCAAGAUUGGCAGAUGCGCUCCCGUUUCGAAUGCUUACAAUGCAACGCUCGUAGCAGGAUGCAAUAAGAUCCUAGAUCCAUUUAACGGCUUCUGGGCGAGCGUCGGUUGGUGCUUGAUCCUAUUCAUACCAACGAUAGUGCUCUGUGUGAAACUGAGUGCUUUGUAUCAAAAGUCAGAUCCAUAUCCAGGACCUCUUGUCGAAGCUGAAUAUUUGUAUGACGCGUACGCAGACAGGGAUAACAUACCCCUCGCCCACGUUCACGACAAGAAGCACGUCUCCCAUAGCAGGCACCAUCAUCCAGCGGCAUAUGUCGAGAGCUACGACGGUCCGGCAGUGGGAUAUAGUGAACGUGAGAGAAUCCCCGACGCCCAUCAGAGUACGUCGCAUCACGAUUCGAGAUAUUCCGAUCUGGCACCGAAUUUCACCCUAUCGUGGCGAAACCACGAACAUAUCGCCCCUUCCAAAACAGAACCUCACAAUAAAGUCUUUAGCGUAUCACUAGAGUCGCAGUGAGUGGGAACUCUGCGGGGGGUCGACCUCUCGCGUCUCUCACGUAUACGCCUCUGCACAAAUUGGGACUUUCCCAACGGUGGUCCGCCAAGGUAUCAACCAGCUGCCGGGGCUCCGCCUCCUUUGAGCACCGAAUAU
rnacentral:misc_RNA from 1 species